rnacentral:rRNA from 1 species
GCCUAGCCUUAAACUGAAACUUACAACUACAUCCCCGCCAGAACACUACGAGUAAACACUUAAAAAUCAAAGGACUUGGCGGUGCCCAAAAUCCACCCAGAGGAGCCUGUUCUAUAAUCGAUGAUCCACGCUAAACCUCACCACUCUUCGCCAAAACAGCCUAUAUACCACCGUCUACAGCUCACCCUAUUGAAGGAAGACAAGUGAGCAAAAUGAGCUCCCACUAAAAACGUCAGGUCAAGGUGUAGCAUAUAGAGUGGGAAGAAAUGGGCUACAUUUUCUUACUAAGAACAAACGAAAAAGCAAAUGAAAAAUUCUUAGAAGGCGGAUUUGACAGUAAAAAGAAACAAUUAAAUUCUUUUUAAC